ensembl:snoRNA SNORA70 Small nucleolar RNA SNORA70
UUAAAAGAAUAGAAACCCUGACAGUGUUCUUUUCCCCAUGGGGGCCCAGUGUGCAGUGGCUGCAAAUAACAGCCUCCUUGGUAGUGUACGCAACCUGUUGCCUGUACAGGUUGCCCUAAGGGACCUUGGAGACAACU